AGCUUAACACAUGCAAGUCGAACGGAUUUUUAUCAUAGCUUGCUAUGAUAAAAAUUAGUGGCAGACGGGUGAGUAAUGCAUAGGAAUCUACCUAGUAGUAUGGGAUAGCCACUAGAAAUGGUGGGUAAUACUGUAUAAUCCCUGCGGGGGAAAGAUUUAUCGCUAUUAGAUGAGCCUAUGUUAGAUUAGCUAGUUGGUAGGGUAAAGGCCUACCAAGGCAGUGAUCUAUAGCUGGUCUGAGAGGAUGAUCAGCCACACUGGAACUGAGAUACGGUCCAGACUCCUACGGGAGGCAGCAGUGGGGAAUAUUGGACAAUGGGCGCAAGCCUGAUCCAGCUAUGCCGCGUGAGUGAGGAAGGCCUUAGGGUUGUAAAACU
rnacentral:rRNA from 1 species